UGAUGACAAAUCUCCGGAAUCUCUGUACUACUUUGAUGAAAAUCUUUUGAACCUUUUAUCUGAUGACUGCCUGUUUAUGUCAAC
ensembl:snoRNA small nucleolar RNA MBII-202